AUCUUGGUGGUGCAGGGGUUAGCACUGCUGCCUCACAGCAAGUAGGUCAUAGGUUUGAAUCCAACCUGGAGC